rnacentral:rRNA from 1 species
CCUACGGGAGGCAGCAGUGGGGAAUAUUGCACAAUGGGCGAAACCCUGAUGCAGCAACGCCGCGUGAGUGAAGAAGGCUUUCGGUAUGUAAAGCUCUAUUCUCAGGGAAGAAAAUGAUGGUACCUCAUGAAGAAGCAGCGGCUAACUACUACCCAGCAGCCGCGGUAAUACGUAGGAGGCGAGCGUUAUCCGGAGUUAUUGCGUGUAAAGGGGUGGGAGACGGCGGUGUAAGUCAUCUGGGAAAGGCGGGGGCUCAACCUCCUGACUGCUUUGGAAACUGUUAUGCUGGAGUGCAGGAGAGGUAAGUGGAAUUCCUAGUGUAGCGGUGAAAUGCGUAGAUAUUAGGAGGAACACCAGUGGCGAAGGCGGCUUACUGGACUGUAACUGACGCUGAGGCUCGAAAGCGUGGGGAGCAAACAGGAUUAGAUACCCUAGUAGUC